rnacentral:rRNA from 1 species
UACGUAGGUGGCAAGCGUUGUCCGGAUUUACUGGGCGUAAAGGGAGCGUAGGCGGAUACUUAAGUGGGAUGUGAAAUACCUGGGCUUAACUUGGGUGCUGCAUUCCAAACUGGGUGUCUAGAGUGUUGGAGAGGAAAGUGGAAUUCCUAGUGUAGCGGUGAAAUGCGUAGAGAUUAGGAAGAACACCAGUGGCGAAGGCGACUUUCUGGACAAUAACUGACGCUGAGGCUCGAAAGCGUGGGGAGCAAACAGGAUUUGAUACCCUGGUAGUCCCCGCCGUAAACGAUGGGUACUAGGUGUAGGGGGUAUCGACUCCCCCUGUGCCGCCGUUAACCCAAUAAGUACCCCGCCUGGGGAGUACGGUCGCAAGAUUAAA